UACAUGAAGCUGGAAUCGCUAGUAAUCGCGGAUCAGAAUGCCGCGGUGAAUACGUUCCCGGGUCUUGUACACACCGCCCGUCACACCAUGGGAGUCGGAAAUGCCCGAAGUCUGUGACCCAACCUACGGGAGGGAGCAGCCGAAGGCAGGUCGGAUGACUGGGGUGAAGUCGUAACAAGGUACC
rnacentral:rRNA from 1 species